rnacentral:rRNA from 1 species
UGGGGAAUAUUGCACAAUGGGCGCAAGCCUGAUGCAGCCAUGCCGCGUGUAUGAAGAAGGCCUUCGGGUUGUAAAGUACUUUCAGUCGGGAGAAAGGUGUCAAGGUUAAUAACCUUGGCAAUUGACGUUACCGACAGAAGAAGCACCGGCUAACUCCGUGCCAGCAGCCGCGGUAAUACGGAGGGUGCAAGCGUUAAUCGGAAUUACUGGGCGUAAAGCGCACGCAGGCGGUUGAUUGAGUCAGAUGUGAAAUCCCCGGGCUUAACCCGGGAAUUGCAUCUGAUAAUGGUCAGCUAGAGUCUUGUAGAGGGGGGUAGAAUUCCAUGUGUAGCGGUGAAAUGCGUAGAGAUGUGGAGGAAUACCGGUGGCGAAGGCGGCCCCCUGGACAAAGACUGACGCUCAGGUGCGAAAGCGUGGGGAGCAAACAGG